CAUGGUAUGCACUGGCUCGCUGACUCCUCCUUCUUGUAGAACCGUAGUGCCAUUAAUUUGGUGUUGCGGGGAAACAGGACUGUUACUUUGAAAAAAUUAGAGUGUUUAAAGCAGGCCAACGCCUGAAUACAUUAGCAUGGAAUAAUGAAAUAGGACGUUCGAACCUAUUUUGUUGGUUUCUGGGAUUGACGUAAUGAUUAAUAGGGAUAGUUGGGGGCAUUAGUAUUCAAUUGUCAGAGGUGAAAUUCUUGGAUUUAUUGAAGACUGACUACUGCGAAAGCAUUUGCCAAGGAUGUUUUCAUUAAUCAAGAACGAAAGUUAGGGGAUCGAAGACGAUCAGAUACCGUCGUAGUCUUAACCAUAAACUAUGCCGACUAGGGAUCGGAUGAUGUUAAUUUUUUAAUGACUCAUUCGGCGCCUUACG
rnacentral:rRNA from 1 species